rnacentral:lncRNA from 1 species
UUUUUUUUUUUUGUCUGGAUUUGUGUGUGAGAUAGAAAGCCACCUAGACUAUAUGUAGUUAAGUCGACAAGGAACUAAGAAAAACUACCGAGAAGCCAAAACUCAAAUAAAGUAAUGUUUUCAAAAGCAAACCUAAAUCUUACCAAUAACAACGAACCAGUGGAAUUGGUGUCUGAAAAUCUGGCGGUGGAUUUCAGCAACUGAGAAUAGCAGCUAUAGGUGGCAGCACUGAAAUUGAACCGAACGGUUUGCUUGAUAGGCCACGGCAGACAGUGAAGAGACGACGAAGACAGGCGAAGCUCCCCAAGAUGGAUAAAACUGAGUUCGGUUGUUGGCAGUGGAUGGCAACAGACCAAAGCAGAGGCAAAAUCUGUGAUGGUGAGAUGCAAGAAGGCAGUGGCAACAACAGGAACCAACUUGAUGGAAUGAUGGGGCUGGACGGUGAUUGAACGACGGAGGAGACAGGCAGGCUGAUGGGUCGGCAGGUAGACUCACAAUCUGGGAAGAGGACUGACUGUUGAGUGAAGUCGCAGACUGCUGUUGAGGCGAAGUUACAACCUGUAAAUAUCUCCAACAGAGAUGCGGAUGGAAGAUGAAGACUCUAUACGUUGUGAAGGAGGCGGCAAUUGCGACGGAGAGUGGCGUCGAACCAGGAGCUUGGUAUGGCAAUAUGGGCAGUGGUGGCGAGAGGCUACUGCAGCUGGCGGAUUGAUUGCUGAUUGUGAAGGUGGAAUUGUGGGAUGGUGGCUGACGGCGAGACGCAACGCAGUGCUGGAGGAGAUGAAGUAGGUAAUUAACUUGUUUUCUUUGGGCUGUUUAUGUUGGGCUGAGACAAGGGACUGGGUUGGGUUUAUAUGGUUUUGUGAAAACCUGGGAAACUUGAGUGAGUUGGGCUUGUUGGGCUUUUUUUGGGCCAGUUAGGGUUAUAUAUAGUCGCUGGUUAUGG